rnacentral:rRNA from 1 species
AUUGAACGCUGGCGGCAUGCCUUACACAUGCAAGUCGAACGGUAACAGGUCUUCGGAUGCUGACGAGUGGCGAACGGGUGAGUAAUACAUCGGAACGUGCCCAGACGUGGGGGAUAACGAGGCGAAAGCUUUGCUAAUACCGCAUACGAUCUAAGGAUGAAAGCAGGGGACCGCAAGGCCUUGCGCGUUUGGAGCGGCCGAUGGCAGAUUAGGUAGUUGGUGGGAUAAAAGCUUACCAAGCCGACGAUCUGUAGCUGGUCUGAGAGGACGACCAGCCACAGGGGGACUGAGACACGGCGAAGAAACCUACGGGAGGCAGAAGGGGGGAAUGUUGGAGAAGGGGGGGAAGUCGGAUCCAGCAAUGCAGCGUGCAGGAUGAAGGCUUUCGGGUUGUAAACUUCUUUUGUGGGGAACGAAAAGGCUCUGGCUAAUACCUGGGGCGCAGGAGGGUAACGUAAGAAUAAGAACCGGAUAACUACGUG